GACGAACGCUGGCGGCGUGCCUAAUACAUGCAAGUCGAACGCAUUUUCUUUCACCGUAGCUUGCUACACCGAAAGAAAAUGAGUGGCGAACGGGUGAGUAACACUUGGGUAACCUGCCCAUCAGCGGGGGAUAACACUUGCAAACAGGGGCUAAUACCGCAUAAUUCCAUUUACCGCAUGGUAAAUGGAUGAAAGGCGCUUUUGCGUCACUGAUGGAUGGACCCGCGGUGCAUUAGCUAGUUGGUGGGGUAACGGCCUACCAAGGCUACGAUGCAUAGCCGACCUGAGAGGGUGAUCGGCCACACUGGGACUGGGAAACGGCCCAGACUUCUACGGGAGGGAGCAGUAGGGAAUCUUCGGCAAUGGAGGCAAGGCUGACCGAGCAACGCCGGGGGAGUGAAGGAGGUUUUCGGAUCGUAAAACUCUGUUGUUAGAGAAGAAAAAGGAUGAGAGUGGAAAGUUCAUCCCUUGACGGUAUCUAACCAGAAAGCCACGGCUAACUACGUG
rnacentral:rRNA from 1 species